rnacentral:rRNA from 1 species
CCUACGGGAGGCAGCAGUGGGGAAUAUUGGACAAUGGGGGAAACCCUGAUCCAGCAAUGCCGCGUGAGUGAUGAAGGCCUUAGGGUCGUAAAGCUCUUUUACCAGGGAUGAUAAUGACAGUACCUGGAGAAUAAGCUCCGGCUAACUCCGUGCCAGCAGCCGCGGUAAUACGGAGGGAGCUAGCGUUGUUCGGAAUUACUGGGCGUAAAGCGUGCGUAGGCGGUUAUUCAAGUCAGAGGUGAAAGCCCGGGGCUCAACCCCGGAACGGCCUUUGAAACUAGAUAACUAGAAUCUUGGAGAGGUCAGUGGAAUUCCGAGUGUAGAGGUGAAAUUCGUAGAUAUUCGGAAGAACACCAGUGGCGAAGGCGACUGACUGGACAAGUAUUGACGCUGAGGUACGAAAGCGUGGGGAGCAAACAGGAUUAGAUACCCUGGUAGUCCACGCCGUAAACGAUGAUAACUAGCUGUCCGGACACUUGGUGUUUGGGUGGCGCAGCUAACGACAUUAAGUUAAUUCCGUCCGUCGGGUAGGUACGGUCGGCGAAGAAGUUAAAACUUAACAAAGGAAAGUUAGUACGGACGUGAGAACGUGCCGAACGGACGACACGAAGGGGAAGGAGG